CAAGAUGAAAUGUUCUGCAGCAAACCUUUGCCUGGAUCCAUUUUCACUCGAUAUAGAACCUUCCAAACUCUUGAAAAUGAAGAAUUGGAAAGUAUCUUUAUAGAUAGUCCACUAAUGGCAGUUCACUAUUUCUCAUUCAUUCUGCUGAAAGAAGCAAUGGUUUAUCUGAUCUGUAACAAAACAGGACUGCCUUAUGAAGAGGCUGAUGCAAGAUGCUCAUCAACAGAGUGUUUAGUGAAAGAUGUCCAUCUAUAAGUGACUGUUCAGUCCAAAAACUUAUUAUGCCAUACAAACUUAUAAUGCCAUACAACAAACCAGUAUUUGGUUCUUUUGUAACUUCAUAUGUGAUAAAUGUUGCAGUAUGAUGUGUAGUGACUGGAUUGUGUUGUGAAGUGACUGGAUUAUGUAGUCAAAUGAAUGGAUUAUGUUGUGUUGUGAUUGGGUUAUGUAGUGCGGUGACUGGGUUAUGUUAUGUAGUGACUGGGAUAUGUUGUGUAGUGACUGGGUUAUGUUGUGUAGUGACUGGGAUAUGUUGUGCAGUGACUGGGUUAUGUAAUGUAGUGACUGUUUUAUGUUGUGCAGUGACUGGGAUAUGUUGUGCAGUGACUGGGUUAUGUUGUGUAGUGACUGGGUUAUGUUGUGUAGUGAUUGGGAUAUGUUGUGUAGUGACUGGGAUAUGUUGUAUUGUAGUGACUGAGAUAUGUAGAGUAGUGACUGGGAUAUGUUGUGUAGUGACUGGGUUAUGUUGCGCAGUGACUGAAUUAUGUAGUGUUGUGACUGAGAUAUGUAGUGUAGUGACUGGGUUAUGUUGUGUAGUGACUGGGAUAUGUAGUGUAGUAACUAGGUAAUGUUGUGUAGUGACUGGGAUAUGUUGUGCAGUGACUGGGAUAUGUAGUGUAGUGACUGUUUUAUGUUGUGCAGUGACUGGGAUAUGUAGUGUAGUGACUAGGUUAUGUUGUGUAGUGACUGGGAUAUGUUGUGCAGUGACUGGGUUAUGUGGUGUAGUGACUGUUUUAUGUUGUGCAGUGACUGGGAUAUGUUGUGUAGUGACUGGGAUAUGUAUUGUAGUGACUGGGUUAUGUUGUGUAGUGACUAGGAUAUGUAGUGUUGUGACUGGGUUAUGUUUUGCAGUGAAUUGGAUAUGUAGUGUAGUGACUGGGUUAUGUUGUGCAGUGACUGGGAUAUGUAGAGUAGUGGCUGGGAUAUGUUGUGUAGUGACUGGGUUAUGUUGUGUAGUGACUGGGUUAAGUUGUGUAGUGACUGGGUUAUGUUGCGCAGUGAUUGGGAUGUGUUGUGUAGUGACAGGGUUAUGUUGUGUAGUGACUGGGAUUUGUUGUGUAGUGACUGGGUUAUGUUGUGUAGUGACUGGGUUAUGUUGUGUAGUGACAUUUUUUUGUAGUGAAGAGACUACCAUAUAUACUCGCCUAUAAGUCGGUUUUUUGGGAGUAAAUAUCUGGUCCAAAACUCUGUAUCCGACUUAUAGGCGAGCUAUCAAAACAAUGGUAUUAUAUGAGGUCAGUCCUUCUGAAAUAUAAGCUAAUUAAAUACAACCGACUUAUAGGCGGACCGACUUAUAGGCGAGUAUAUACGGUAGUUUAUGUAGUGCAGUGACUGAGUUAUGUAGUGUUGUGACAGGUUCAUUUUAGCUAAUGACUGGAUUUAGUUUCUGUAUUUAUUGGGUUUCAUUAUAAAAUGAAUUGUCAAUUUUAUGCAGUAAUAUAAUAUGUAGUGACCUAAUUAUUAUACUUAAUGAAUGGUUAUCAAGUGAUGGGUUAUGUUAUGAAGUGAUGUGUGUUAUGUUCCAGGGUAACCCUGUUAUGAUUUUGUAAUAUUAUGACUGCAUUAUAUUGUAUCAUGCCUUGAAUAUUUUGCAUCAUAAUUAAGUUAUGGAAGUUACAUUUGUGUUGUAGUGACUUGGUUAUGCUUUUAUUAUCAAGUUAUGUUUAUACAUAAAUUGAUACUUUUGUACUGUGUUAUUCAGUACUGUUAUUGAUUUAUAGUUUACUGUGUUCUUAUUUUUUCCAUUGCAACAAAGUGACCAUGUGACAUUAUAAUUAAGAUGGGCAGAUAUUGAUUUCAGUAGGUUAAUAAUUUUAAAAAUGGAAUAUAAAUCAUCCAUUAAUUUAUUGUUUUAUGUUCAUAAUGAUUUGUUUUGUGUUUUUCUUAUUUUCUUUCUUUAUCAUCUGGUUUUGCUUUUCCCUUCGUUUUGUUUUGAUCCAAUUUAGAAGAUUGUGGAAAUGUCAACAUAUAUAUGUGUCAAAUAUAAGGGCAAGUCAGUAUAGAAUGAUUCUGAAAAUGAAUGCAUGCAUACAUUAUCAGUAUAUUAGGUCUAUUUUGCAUAAGCACAAUUACUUGUAGUAAUGUACUGUAACAUUUCUUUCCUGAUUACAUUCAAGUUUGAGUUUGAAUGCAUGAGUGUCUUGAAUACCUAUAAGAUUAGUAUAUGUUUACUCGCUAGACAGAUCAACUAUGCAUUUUAUAAGGCAUUGUUUCAAGGUACCCAUUGCAUUCAAGUCAGGCUUUUAGUCGCUAUACUUAUGCAAUAUUAAUUUGAAUGAUUAUUUUUAAAAUUUAUGGUCUCAUAUCUGUAACGAUGUGGUCAAACAAAUUGAGUGAGAUGCGUUAAUAAUAAUCUCAUUAAGAUUUGUAGAGAAUAAACAUUUUGGAUUGUUAUACCUUUAAGAAUUUGUUCCUAUACAAAUCUAUACAAAAAAAGUCUAAUGUUUUGCUGAGCGGGCAUAAAAAAAAUCGAUGUUGGACCACAGAGUUCUCGAGCAAAAUGCGUUUUGUUGGACCCUCGAACCAAACUGUCUGCCUUUGGCCUAAACGCCUCAGGCAGGCAGUUUGGUUCGAGGGUCCGACAAAACGCAUGUUGCCCUCGAACUCAGUCAAUAAAUGUAUAUUGACAUCUCCAGACCAAAUUUUUUAGUCUCUACAAAUCUUGCUGAGAUUAUGUUAGUCUUAUUGAAAAUUUGUUUGAAAAGUUAUUGCUUUAUCUGACGAUGUGAUUUAUAUUUCCAUAAUUACAUUCCUGUAUUGUUUUUUAAACUGUGUGUAGGAUGGGAAGGUUAACGGUUAAGCAAUGAAUAAAUAAUAUAUAAUAA